rnacentral:rRNA from 1 species
UACAGAGGGGGCAAGCGUUGUUCGGAAUUACUGGGCGUAAAGGGCGCGUAGGCGGCCUGCUAAGUCGAACGUGAAAUCCCUGGGCUCAACCCAGGAACUGCGUCCGAUACUGGUUGGCUUGAAUCCGGGAGAGGGAUGUGGAAUUCCAGGUGUAGCGGUGAAAUGCGUAGAUAUCUGGAGGAACACCGGCGGCGAAGGCGGCUUCCUGGCCCAUUACUGACGUUCAGGUACGAAAGCGUGGGUAGCAAACAGG